GGAGAGAUGUCCGAGUUGGUUUAAGGAGCACGCCUGGAAAGCGUGUAUAGGGGAAACUCUAUCAGGGGUUCGAAUCCCCUUCUUUCCGCCA
rnacentral:tRNA from 1 species